AUUGAACGCUGGCGGCAUGCCUUACACAUGCAAGUCGAACGGCAGCACGGGAGCAAUCCUGGUGGCGAGUGGCGAACGGGUGAGUAAUAUAUCGGAACGUGCCCGGUCGUGGGGAUAACGUAGCGAAAGCUACGCUAAUACCGCAUACGAUCUACGGAUGAAAGCGGGGGAUCGCAAGACCUCGCGCGAUUGGAGCGGCCGAUAUCAGAUUAGGUAGUUGGUGAGGUAAAGGCUCACCAAGCCGACGAUCUGUAGCUGGUCUGAGAGGACGACCAGCCACACUGGGACUGAGACACGGCCCAGACUCCUACGGGAGGCAGCAGUGAGGAAUAUUGGACAAUGGGCGCAAGCCUGAUCCAGCCAUGCCGCGUGCAGGAUGACGGUCCUAUGGAUUGUAACUGCUUUUAUACAGGAAGAAACACUCCGACGUGUCGGAGCUUGACGGUACUGUAAGAAUAAGGAUCGGCUAACUCCG
rnacentral:rRNA from 1 species